rnacentral:antisense_RNA from 1 species
CCCGACCAGGGGCAGCCUCGCCGCCGCUCAGCUCAGGAAUCCCUGCCCCCCACCAGCACCACGGUGGGUGAUACUGCAAGUUCAAGAAUUGGGGCCAGGAUCAGGUGGUGACGGAGCCACCUGGGUUUCCGGGGACUCUCAAGCCAACCCCAAGUCAUGACAAAUGCCAGUCGCCUUGGACAGAGGCAAGGGCCUGGACGCAGAGACCAGAGGCCGGAACUGGCAGACUGUCCUCACAGGCUGUGUGACACUGGCUAGUCGUCCCAUCUCUCUGGGGCCCCACAGGACCGGGGACCAGGUUGUGGAAUGACAGUGGACCACAGUGGUCGGGGGACCGGCUCGUUGGCGGCAGGCACAGGCCCGUGUGAUGGGGACAAUGAGCUUUGGUGGUUUAAGGCGUGAAUGAAUGAAGGAGCAAGCAGUAAGUCCCGACAGCAAGGCCACCACAGCCCUCACCCCACAGGGACGCCUGAGCAAGGACCCAAGCAGGGGACAAGCAGGCUCACCCCGCCCUUGCGGGGCUGACCACGAGGCCCGGUCCGGUGGAACGCGCCAUGACACUUCAGAAGGCUCGUGUAGCUGGCGCCGUAUCGGACAGCGGGGGACAGAGAAAAUGCACAGCCCAGGGAAAUGUGGAGACAGGCCCAACGCCAGGCAUGGGGGCCGGAAGGAGCAGCUGGGGAGCAGGGGGCAGGGCCUGGAGUCCCGCCUUGCAGAUCUGAACCUGCCUCAGCCCCAGGACUCUGAGUGCAGCCAGAGGG